rnacentral:rRNA from 1 species
GCGGAUGCUACUGCUAUUGGGAUUCGAUUAAGCCAUGCAAGUCGAACGAGUUUAGACUCGUGGCGUACGGCUCAGUAACACGUGGAUAACCUACCCUUAGGACCGGGAUAACCUUGGGAAACUGAGGAUAAUACUGGAUAGGCAAUUUUUCCUGUAAUGGUUUUUUGUUUAAAUGUUUUUUCGCCUAAGGAUGGGUUUGCGGCCGAUUAGGUAGUUGGUUAGGUAAUGGCUUACCAAGCCUUUGAUCGGUACGGGUUGUGAGAGCAAGAGCCCGGAGAUGGAACCUGAGACAAGGUUCCAGGCCCUACGGGGUGCAGCAGGCGCGAAACCUCCGCAAUGUGAGAAAUCGCGACGGGGGGAUCCCAAGUGCCAUUCUUAACGGGAUGGCUUUUCAUUAGUGUAAAGAGCUUUUGGAAUAAGAGCUGG